UAAUGCAUCGGAACGUGUCCUGUUGUGGGGGAGUAACUGAUCGAAAGAUCAGCUAAUACCGCAUGAGACCUGAGGGUGAAAGCGGGGGAUCGCAAGACCUCGCGCGACAGGAGCGGCCGAUGUCUGAUUAGCUAGUUGGUGAGAUAAAAGCUUACCAAGGCGACGAUACAUAGGGGGACUGAGAGGUUAACCCCCCACACUGGUACUGAGACACGGACCAGACUCCUACGGGAGGCAGCAUG
rnacentral:rRNA from 1 species